rnacentral:lncRNA from 7 species
CAAAUUUCGAUUUAGAUGUUUUUUUCCACCUUUUUCGUCGUGGAGGGGAAAUAAUGCACAAAAAAAUAUACAAAAUUUUAUUCUUGUCUUCCAUAAUAUUAUUAAGAAUAUUUGUCUUCCAUAAUAUUAUUAAGAAUAUGGGUAAAGAUUACCACUAGAUUCUAUGUAUGUCUAUGUUAAAUAUUAAAAUUUGUCAUAUUUUCCGGAUGAUUAGGAUCUAUUCCUACCAAACGUAGUGCCGAAGCAGAGGUGAGACGUGACCGUUUUUUUGGUGACGCGAGAACGGAUGGCGAUGACAGCCGUCAGAAAACCGGAGGCGAUAGACGAGAGCAAUUCCGAUACUAGAUAAACCACCAGAGCAGGAAAAAAACACACAGAACGGCAGGCGAAUCCGCCGACGAGGCAGCACAGCAGACACGCACGGCGCCGUAGCUGAGGCUGACGCUGAGGCACCGGGUGCGGUGCGGCGGCGGGCUCGUCGGUCCGUCCAUUUUACGGCGGAUGCUUAUAUUCAUCCUUCGAUUCGAUUUAUUGUAUUGGUGGCGCACCAAACUUGCCGACCAGGGCGGGGCCUCCCCUCCCCUCCCCUCCAA